AGGAAAGCUAGCAGUGACCAACUGGAAGGGGGACAAGAGCAUGGGGCUGGAUUGGAAGUGGCCACGAAGGUCACAUCUGGCCUGGUGUCCUCACCUCCUGACACAGGGGUCUGAGUAUCACCUGUGAUCCCUGCCAGCAUCCACGAGACAGGCAAGAGAAAGAGUGCUUUGUGAAGGCCCUGCAGCAGAAGACAGACACAGAAGUGGAGCUUCAAGAAGCUUGAUCCCAGGGCCACUGGAGUUUGAGGACCAGUGGAUGGAGAGCCAUGAUACUCCAGGUGUGAAAUACUCCAGCAGAAACUGGAACAUGGAACAGACCAGGACAAGGUCUCCUUUGAAGAUAAAUUCUAUAGGGGGAUCUCUGCGUGUGCAAAGCAAAUACUUCAUCUCAUCCCCAGUAAUCAUGGCUAUCAUCUGCUGCAUUUUCUUCCUUUACUUUUGUUUCCUUGCAAUGAAUAGCCCUUAAUUUCAUCUGGACUCUGGCUCAGCAAGAGUGAGCAUGUAGCCGGAUUCAGACAUGUGCUGAGACACAUCAAGAGCUGCUGGGAAAACAGGAAGAUUCUGAGAGUGUAAAUUUUUCUUGUUCUGAUAGGUCAUCAAGGAAAAUUCGAAAAUCAUUUUAAAAAUUACCAAGACUUUGAGCUAAAUUCUGUAACAUGUUUUCUGCUUAGUCUUGGAUGUCCAUAUUCUUCAAAACCACACUCCAAAAAAGGAGACCUGCUUACAUUCCUCUUGUAUAGAUUGUUACCAGAAGUAACUUAUUUUCUACUGUGUUGCCAAAGACAGCCAUGGGCUGUAAGUCUGUGCUGCAAAAUAACAACCAAAGAAGGCUCUUUAGCACAAUUCUUGUUUUUAGAUUUUGAUUUGAGCUUUGAUUACUUUUGUUCUUUGGUUUUCUUUAGUUUCAUUAGAAGUUUUUUGUUUGUUUGUUUGUUUGUUUCUUUGGUGUUGUUUGGUUUUGUAAUUGAUUUAAUAUUUUGAUAAGGCUAUACACUGUACAUAUUGACUGCCCACUUUUAGUUACUAUUGAGUAAAUUGGAUGUAUUCUUAUGAAUAAAACAGUGAUCUCUAA
rnacentral:lncRNA from 1 species